rnacentral:rRNA from 1 species
AACGCGAAGAACCUUACCCAGGUUUGAAAUUCAGCUGAAGUGCGUAGAGAUACGUACGUUUCGCAAGAGACAGUUGGACAGGUGCUGCAUGGCUGUCGUCAGCUCGUGCCGUGAGGUGUUGGGUUAAGUCCCGCAACGAGCGCAACCCUUAUUCUUAGUUGCCAUCAGGUAAAGCUGGGCACUCUGGGGAGACUGCCGGCAUAAGUCGGAGGAAGGUGGGGAUGACGUCAAGUCAGCAUGGCCCUUACAUCUGGGGCUACACACGUGCUACAAUGGCCGAUACAAAGGGCUGCGAUACCGCGAGGUGGAGCGAAUCCCAUAAAGUCGGUCUCAGUUCGGAUUGCAGGCUGCAACUCGCCUGUAUGAAGUCGGAAUCACUAGUAACCGCAGAUCAGCUACGCUGUGGUGAAUACGUUCCCGGGCCUUGUACACACCGCUCGUC